UACAGAGGUCCCAAGCGUUGUUCGGAUUCACUGGGCGUAAAGGGUGCGUAGGCGGUCGCGUAAGUCAGGUGUGAAAUCCCGGGGCUCAACCCCGGAACUGCACUUGAUACUGCGUGGCUAGAGUACUGGAGAGGAGACUGGAAUUUACGGUGUAGCAGUGAAAUGCGUAGAUAUCGUAAGGAAGACCAGUGGCGAAGGCGAGUCUCUGGACAGUUACCGACGCUGAGGCACGAAGGCCAGGGGAGCAAACGGG
rnacentral:rRNA from 1 species